GCGGAAGAAGCAUUGUCAAGGAACUCGGCAAAAUGACCCCGUAACUUCGGGAGAAGGGGUGCCUGCGAGAGCAGGCCGCAGAGAAUAGGCUCAAGCAACUGUUUAGCAAAAACACAGGUCUAUGCGAAACCGAAAGGUGAGGUAUAUGGGCUGACGCCUGCCCGGUGCUGGAAGGUUAAGAGGAGAGGUUAGCGGUAACGCGAAGCUUUGAAUUUAAGCCCCAGUAAACGGCGGCCGUAACAAUAACGGUCCUAAGGUAGCGAAAUUCCUUGUCGGGUAAGUUCCGACCCGCACGAAAGGCGUAAUGAUUUGAGCGCUGUCUCGACAAUGCAUCCGGUGAAAUUGAAGUACCAGUGAAGAUGCUGGUUACCUGCGCCAGGACGGAAAGACCUCAUGGAGCUUUACUCCAGUUUGGUACUGGGAUCCGGUACUGCAUGUACAGGAUAGGUGGGAGGCUGAGAAUCGGUAACGCCAGUUGCCGAGGAGCCGCUGUUGGGAUACCACCCUUGCAGUAUUGGGUUUCUAACCAGCCGCCGUGACCCGGCGGUGGGACAAUGCCAGACAGGGAGUUUGACUGGGGCGGUCGCCUCCGAAAGGGUAUCGGAGGCGCCCAAAGGUUCCCUCAGGAUGGACGGAAACCAUCCAAAGAGUGCAAAGGCAGAAGGGAGCUUGACUGCGACACCGACGGGUGGAGCAGGUACGAAAGUAGGGCUUAGUGAUCCGGUGGUAUUAAGUGGGAAUGCCAUCGCUCAACGGAUAAAAGCUACCCUGGGAUAACAGGCUUAUCACUCCCAAGAGUUCACAUCGACGGAGUGGUUUGGCACCUCGAUGUCGGCUCAUCGCAUCCUGGGGCUGUAGUAGGUCCCAAGGGUUGGGCUGUUCGCCCAUUAAAGCGGUACGCGAGCUGGGUUCAGAACGUCGUGAGACAGUCCGGUCCCUAUCCGGCGUGGGCGUAGGAUAUCUGAGAGGAGCUGUCCUUAGUACGAGAGGACCGGGAUGGACGGGCCGCUGGUGCACCGGUUAGACUGCCAAGUCUAUAGCCGGGUAGCCAAGCCCGGAAGGGAUAAACGCUGAAGGCAUCUAAGCGUGAAGCCCCCCUCAAGAUGAGAUAUCCCAUCCGAAGGGAGUAAACCCCCUUGAAGACGACGAGGUUGAUAGGGCAGAGGUGGAAGUGUGGUAACACAUGGAGCUGACUGCUACUAAUAGGGUUAGGGCUUGACC
rnacentral:rRNA from 1 species